CUCUCCUGGUGAUGCCAUAUCAGCAUACAGGUCAGAAAAUCGAGUUAUGUGAGCGUGACACGUGUUCCAGACAAGCAAAACGCAUCACUUCAUUUAAUCCGAUGGGCUUUGACUGUGAAACGUGAUUGGGCUGAUAUUUUCUUCUGCGGCCCGGCAGCCUGUAAUCGAAAACCCUAAGUUUGAUUACGCAAAAAUUGAGUUCGUCUCUCCUCUUGCACCUUCAUCGAGAAUGUCGACAGAAGAAGCUAGGGGUUCGUCAUCUCCCCUAGAUCCGACCAUGUCAAACAAGCAUGGAUGUUCUGGAAGGAACCUCAAGUCAGAUCUUCAUAAACUUUUGUGUCGUUCAUAGUUCCCGUCGUUACGCUUGAUUUCGACCUCCUCUGAUCUGUUACGCAGCAGUGAUCUUCACUUAUAAAAAGGGGAGACUUCACCUUACGAAAAUCAUCCUCCCGGCUCCUAAUAUCAGCAAAACCUCAUCUUCUUCGAUUUCAUCGCUUAAACUUUCAUGCUCGCUGAUUUGGAGGCCGUCAGUGUUUUUCCACUGUGGUGGUGUUACUUCUCGAGAAACGUGAAAGGAGGUGACGAGCUGAUGGGCGUGGAUAAGCUUCUCCUCGACUCUAAGCAACCCUCAUACCGCCACCGUCUCACGGCUUACCGGCAUCAUUUUAAGGCAGUGUUUCAACUGAAUUUGAAGAGAUACGGUUCUACCAAUUCCUAAAGAACGCUUCAAGUUCCAUAAUCACAGUGAGGUACUUUGGCUGGCCAACAGGAACAUACACCUUCCCGGUAAUCGUCUUCAUAUCUCUUUAUCCCAGGAUCAACAUUGGAAAGUGAUUAGAUAUUGACAUCUUGAUUUCUUUGUAGACCUUAUCUGUGAGCUCACAGCUGUGAAGAGUAUUGUGAGUGACCCUACACAAGGAAAACAUCGUGUCAUGACCGGAGGCUCCAGCUGCUCCCAGUUAUGAUGAUGUUGCAACAAGCAUAAACCUCAAGAUUGUUCGAGGUGCUCAGUCAUGUUAUGGCAACAAUUAAAAUCGACAGUGAUGUUUCUCUGACUUUGAGUUUGUUCCACUCACAACUCUCAAGCUGUAUCGUUUCACAACCACCUGGAAGGCUUCUGUGUUGAUCUAAUAGUUGUUGCUACAAGCAUAAACCUCCAAGAUUGUUGGAGGUGCUCUAUCAUGUAUCAUCUGUUUUUUUUGUUAACUGUGAAUUACUUUACUGCUGCUUGGAACAAGCAAAAACCCCAAAAACGAAAAAAACCUGAGUUUCACAGGUCAAUACAUACUUUAAUAGCUUAGCUUGGCAGUCUAUAUUUUUUGUUUAAAGAGGAGAAACGUGAGUUCCACAUAUUUGUGCAUUAUCAUGUGACAUCACUGCUAUAAUAUAAAUAAAAACAACAACACAAAAUUUGUUA